GACGAACGCUGGCGGCGUGCUUAACACAUGCAAGUCGAGCGGAAAGGCCACUUCGGUGGUACUCGAGCGGCGAACGGGUGAGUAACACGUGAGUAAUCUGCCCUUCACUUCGGGAUAGCUCCGGGAAACCGGGAUUAAUACCGUAUACGACCACCUUGGGCAUCCGAUGGUGGUGGAAAGUUUUUCGGUGGGGGAUGUGCUCGCGGCCUAUCAGCUUGUUGGUGGGGUAAUGGCCUACCAAGGCUUCGACGGGUAGCCGGCCUGGGAGGGCGACCGGCCACACUGGGACUGAGACACGGCCCAGCCUCCUACGGGAGGCAGCAGUGGGGAAUAUUGGACAAGGGGCGGAAGCCGGAUCCAGCAACGCCGCGUGAGGGAUGACGGCCUUCGGGUUGUAAACCUCUUUCAGCACCGACGAAGCGAGAGUGACGGUAGGUGCAGAAGAAGGACCGGCCAACUACGUGCCAGCAGCCGCGGUAACAC
rnacentral:rRNA from 1 species